AUGGACCUCGUUUGCCUAAGUUUACCGGAGGACAUCCGUGGCGAUCUCCAGGGCUUAGCCAGGAGAUAUGCGGAAGCACCCAGCCCCCAGGUUCGGCUCUCCGUGGUAGAACUGGCCAUCGAGAUACUGGAGGACGAAUACUGGUGGCGUGAGUACCCCGGAGUGCAAGCGUAUUUCGAUGGGCUCCGACUAACGCGGAGGGACUUGACACGCGCUCUGCGCGUAUCGCCUGGCCGCGCCUCUGUCGCCGCUCCGGCGGUUCCCGUUCCUGACGCUGCUCCGGCGGUUCCCGUUCCUGACGCCACUCCGGCGGUUUCCGUUCCUGUCGCCGCUCCGGCGGUUCCCGUUCCUGUCGCCGCGUCGGCGGUUCCCAUUCCUGUCGCCGCGCCUGCGGCUACAACCCAAGUUCCAGACGCCGCCUGUUCGGUUCACCACACGGACCCCGCUACAGAGACCCAGCCCCUGCCGCUCUCAGCGCCUCCGACGACGGUCAGCCGCAGGCGCCCCAGACGACGUCGGCGAGGGCACGGGUCUGAGGUUCAGGGCCCAGAGAUCUCGGUCGCAGUGCCCGAGCAGCUCUCCCCUCCCGCGGGGGUUCCCCUCGGUUCUCCCACUGACUGUGUUGUGUCGAUUGCAGGCAUCCCCGCUAGCGUCGCCCGACGGGUCCACCUCCUCUGCUCUCCUCCAGUUGCGUUUCUCUUUGCCCAUCUCAUGAACACCGCCGAUUCGGCAGCAGACCAGGGCACGAGAGAACAAUUGUUCGAGGAGGCAGCCGCUCUCGUCCUGAGGGAACCUGUCCUGCGUGAGGUCCUGCAAUUCCCGGGCCUGCAGCCAGCAGCCGCUUCAUGUCCCACCUCUCAGUCAGGUCAGUCAAGCCAUGCUCAGUUUCCAGCCCCAGUCCAGCCGAGCCCAGUUCAGUCUCCAGUCCAGCCGAGCCCAGUUCAGUCUCCAGUCCAGCCGAGCCCAGUUCAGUCUCCAGUCCAGCCGAGCCCAGCCCAGUCGAGCCCAGUUCAGGUUCCAGUCCAGUCGAGCCCAGUCCAGGUUCCAGCCCAGUCGAGCCCAGUCCAGUCGAGCCCAGUCCAGUCGAGCCCAGUCCAGUCGAGCCCAGUCCAGUCGAGCCCAGUACAGUCGAGCCCAGUACAGUCGAGCUCUGUCCCAGUUCAGUCCAGUCACGCGCAGGUCUUAUCCCAGUCAGAGGACUCCACC
rnacentral:lncRNA from 1 species